ensembl:ncRNA F02E8.7 ncRNA
GACUGCUGUAUUCAUAUUGUGAAACUUUGAUUUUUAGGAGUUGAUUUCUCUCACUCGUAAACUAUUUUUUUCUGUGUGAAGAAGCUGCUGAUGUAAGGCAUUUUUAGCUGGUUGUUGGCUAAUUUUUUUCAGCCUUAUCAGUGCACUGAUAAAAAUCAAAAAUGAAGUGGAAUAUCAGGUUGUCCAAAUUAGUCUAUUG